rnacentral:rRNA from 1 species
CAGGCCUAACACAUGCAAGUCGCACGGGCAGCUUCGGUUGUCAGUGGCGGACGGGUGAGUAACGCGUAGGGAUUUGUCGUUGGGUGGGGGAUAACCUUGGGAAACUGGGGCUAAUACCGCAUGACGCCUGUGGGCCAAAGCAGUGAUGCGCCUGACGAGAAGCCUGCGUUCGAUUAGCUUGUUGGUGGGGUAAAGGCCUACCAAGGCGACGAUCGAGAGCUGGGAUGAGAGGAUGAUCAGCCACACUGGGACUGAGACACGGCCCAGACGCUGACGGGAGGCAGCAGUGGGGAAGAUUGGACAAUGGGCGCAAGCCUGAGCCAGCAAUGCCGCGUGGAUGAAGAAGGUUUUCGGAUUGGAAAGGCCUUUCGGCGGGGACGAUGAUGACGGAACCCGCAGAAGAAGCCCCGGCGAACUGAGUGCCAGCAGCCGCG